UACGUAGGGUGCAAGCGUUAAUCGGAAUUACUGGGCGUAAAGCGUGCGUAGGCGGCUAUCUAAGUCGGGUGUGAAAGCCCCGGGCUCAACCUGGGAAUUGCAUUCGAGACUGAAUAGCUAGAGUGCGGUAGAGGGAAGCGGAAUUUCCGGUGUAGCGGUGAAAUGCGUAGAUAUCAAGAGGAACGCCUGAGGUGAAGACGGGUUGCUGGGCUGACACUGACGCUGAGGCGCGAAAGCCAGGGGAGCAAACGGG
rnacentral:rRNA from 1 species